rnacentral:rRNA from 1 species
AGCAGUAGCCGCGGUAAUACGUAGGGUGCGAGCGUUAAUCGGAAUUACUGGGCGUAAAGCGUGCGCAGGCGGUUCGUUAAGACAGAUGUGAAAUCCCCGGGCUUAACCUGGGAACUGCAUUUGUGACUGGCGAGCUAGAGUAUGGCAGAGGGGGGUAGAAUUCCACGUGUAGCAGUGAAAUGCGUAGAGAUGUGGAGGAAUACCGAUGGCGAAGGCAGCCCCCUGGGCCAAUACUGACGCUCAUGCACGAAAGCGUGGGGAGCAAACAGGAUUAGAUACCCCUGUAGUCCCUGUCUCUUAUAC